AUAGUGANUAUUACCUGCUCUAUGAAUUUUAUAUUUAAAUGGCCGCGGUAGCCUGACUGUGCGAAGGUAGCAUAAUAAUUUGCCCUAUAAUUGAGGGCUGCAUGAAUGGUUUGACGAGAACAUAACUGUCUCUUAUUAAUUUUUUAGAAUUUUACUUUUAAGUGAAAAGGCUUAGAUAUAAUUAAAAGACAAGAAGACCCUAUUGAGUUUUAAUUUUAAUAAUAAUUAUUGAGAUUGUGAGAGUUUAUUAAUUAUUUAUAUAAAUUUUGGUUGGGGAAACCGGGAAGUAUACAAAGCCUUCUUUUAAUAUAAUUAUUAAUUAAUUUUGAUCCAUGUUUUGUGAUUAAAAGAAUAAAUUACCAUAGGGAUAACAGCAUAAUUUUUUUUAAGAGUUCAUAUUAAAAAAGAAGUUUGUGACCUCGAUGUUGGAUCAAAACGUCCUAAAGGUGCAGGAGCUUUUAAGGGUUGGUCUGUUCGACCAUUAAAGUUUUA
rnacentral:rRNA from 1 species